AUCACCGGCGAAGCCAUUUACGGCAGCGAGAGCAGACAUGAUACUCACCGGCUCUCCACUGUCCGAUCUGCCCGUGGACGGCAACCUCUUCUUUUUCUCUGGUCUGAAUCCUAAAGAUAGAGCAGCGGCGGUUGGUGGGAAUCAAACCCCACAUAUUGGUGAAACCAGGGCCAUCAUUGACCAUGGAGUGCCCCCGCAGUGCUACCUCGCGGACGGGGUGGGGUCGCCCACAUGGCUACCACGCUGCCGACCAAUCUGUGGGGCGCGGGAGAAGCUGCGGCGUCCUUCGGUCCUUGCAUUGGUCGCGAGAGCCGAAGAUGGAUUCAAUGGAGGAAGAGGAGGGAACCGGAGCACGUCCUCUGCCGGACCCGGUGGCGACGGGGGCGGCGGGAACACGAGCGCGCCCACCUGGGGCGCCGACGCCGGUGGAGUGGCGAAGAGCGCCGUCGUGUGUCUCGCCGCUGCCGUAGUUGGGGAGCGCAGCGCCGACAUUCCUGAGCACGGCCUUCCGGCCCGCGUGCGCACCCGACAACGCGUGCCGCGCCUCGACGGUCGCCCACAGCCGGUUCUUCUGCUCCCGGCACGACGCCACCGCGCCCUCCGCGUUCUCCUUGGACUGCCCGCACCCCAUCGCGCCCUCAACCUCUGAGCGGCGAGGUUGAGGACAUGUGCACGCAGGAGCAGUUUGGUCUGCUCUGGUUUCCUUGGCGCAGGGGUGUGCGUUAUGGGGAUUCCCACGGGGAAGGGAAGGCCUCAAGCGCCGCCAUCGCCAAGAGCUGUGGAGCGCCGCCGAUGCCGCCAUCCUAUGCGACCCUGUGACUGGGAGUUCGUGCCGCUGCUGGCCGAGGGCCAAGGUGUGCCUCGCGCUGGGAGCCGCCUCCGCCGGUUUGUCAGGGUUGGGGCGCCCUUCUCCUUAGGCACCUCAGUGUGUUGGAGAAAUCGAGCUGGCUGGCUCGGUCCGCAUCUCCGGCAUCUGCUGCUGCAUCUAGCCGAUCCAACAAUACUUUUCCUUGAUUUGCAUCAGGGUUCCUCCUUUGGUCGUUGUGGCUGCUAAGCGUGGUUCUGGUCAUUGGGAGUGGCACCUCCCCUUCUUUGGCGCACCUAUGCUUCCUUCUGCGACAGAUCAGGGCCUAUCUGGAUUGCUUGGUAUUGUAGCUGCUUGAGUUUGGGUAGUUCAGCUAGAUGGAACAGUGGGCUUUCAUUGUUGUAGAUAUUUGAGUUUGACUAUGCAGUCCCACCGAUGGGCAAGCAGGCAGGCACCUGACAGUUGCUAUGCCAGCCACACCAUAUUGGUUCCUCUCGAUCAGCGUUGCUCUAUAUUAAGAGGUGAGAUACUCAUUUUUAGAUAAGAGAAUGGGAAAAAGACCAAGCAUAGACCCAUUAUGUUGAUAACUCAUUUAUCUAAGAUUAAUAGAUUUCUUCAAACUCUUUGAUGGUUUGUUGGCCUCUUUUAUUUCCAUGACCUAACAAGCUUGAAGUUCGGACUGCGGUGUUAUUAUAAGAAAUAGAAUCCAGCAUGAUUAUUGUGGUUUGCCCUGGUAGAGUGAAAGAAAAUCCCUGCUCUGUCCUCUACACCUUGGUCAUACACAUAGAAUAGGUGAUUUACUAAUGUUAUCAAUAUUUAAAGAAGCUUUGUCUUCACUUACUUAUUCAUCUCUGCGCACCAUGUUACCUUGCACAAACUGUAUUAUCAUUUUAUAGAGACGGAGGUCACCAGAAUUGUUAGCCAGGCCCUGUUAUUGUCGACCAAUUCUAAGAUAGGAAAUUUUGGAACACAGUAGCACCUGACACAUGCUAGGUUGUUGUGUCUUGGCAGUUCUGAAUCGCUUGAUGCAUUACGGUUUAUUAAAUGUUUGUUACUACAAACAAAUUGGCAAAGGACAAGUAUGUCUUCAUGCUAGCAUACCUCCCCUUUAUAAAGCAUAAGUUUGUGGUACUACUAGCAUUACCUGAAACUCAUGCAACCUUUUUGAGGCCAAGAAUUUAGUAAUCACCUAUGCGAUCGAGAAAAUAAAUCACCAAUUCUAUACAAAUAAAUGAAUCAACAACUUUGUUUCGUGAUUUUUGGCCAAAAGUGGUUGGCACAGUUUACCUUACUCAAAACUACCCUUGCAAGCUAGCUAUGUCAGAUGUUCUCCUAGGCCCUUCAUCCAUAGAACUAUAUAUACACUUAUCCUUAGUCUUUGGGUGGAACCUACAGAGAGGAGACGAGCAAAGAAAUCUUUGCUAUUCCCAUAGUCUCUUUUUGAUGGGUGGAUGAGAAGCGAAGGGAAAAACACAUGAGAAAACCGAACCAAUUCCCUUCACCAUUAGCUCAAGUUCUCUAACAAGUAGCUUGCUACAAAAUAUGAAAAUGAGUGGCCAAGAUUAUUUGGUCUGCAGUUGAUUUUUUUUUUGACUUAGUAAAGCAAUUUUGUAUUUCUAAUUUCUCUGACCAUACAGACUUCAAUUUGUGUAUAUUGGAACCAAUCUAUUCUACCUUUUCUCAUUUUGACUGAUUUCUUGCCGUUAAAUAAACUGUACUAGCUAUGCAAACAACAUUGCUCAAAGAUGUGUCAAAAAAGGUAUAUCGCAGGAAACUUCUUGCGCGUUUAGGUUGAAUAUGUGAAAAUAGAGACAGAUACUGGAUAAAUUGUAUGUGAAUAUAUGAAUUAUGUGUCGCCAUGAUAGUUUGCCAGGUACAGAUUACACAAAAUAUCUUUACUUCGAUUUUCCUUCUUAAAGAGUAACUAUUGUUUGGUAGAUUCUAUCCCAAAGAAGUUGGAGUUUAUAGCACAUAUGUACUGCCUCAUGAACCAUUUAGUAAAAGGGUAGUACUAUAUAUCCACUUGUAUUUACUUCUAUAUGCUGUCCUGAAGAUAGUCGUCUAUUUUCAGGAACCAAUGAUAUAUGGUUUGGAGAGCACAUAUGUAUUGGGUUGUUGAUGUUAUAAUAUUUGGCCAGAGAUGAUCCAAGGUGACAUUAUAAUUUGAUCUAUUGUGAGUUUAUCAAUCAAUGUUUCCAUAUUUUAUUAAAUGGUCUAUGGUGCUUACUUUUCAAUCGAGUUUUUUGUUCUGGAAAAAAACAUUGACUGAAAUUGUCAGAUCCUAUACUUGUAUUGUAUUAUCAGUUAACUGGCGAUUUAUUACUUCACUUUAUUUGUACUAAAACAGUGCUACAAAUUGGAGUUCGUGCCGUCCAUACACAUGUAUUUCCUCAUAAACCAAUUGGAAAAAUAGAUGUAAUAUCCAUGUGUAUAUACCAUCAUUCAUCACAAAAUAACAGUGGCUCAGACCUCGAUAAACAUGCUCAGCGCUCAGCGAAUAUGAGUGAUCUGUAUUGUGUACUGCCUACCAAGAUGCCAACUACCAUACAGAUCAUGGUACUCCCAGCGCACUUGACAAAUUCAACACCGAAUUCA